CGGAAAGCCGCCUUGCCUGGAGACUUCGCUGGAGAAAAGCUGCAAAGGCGGGAAUUGGGCUGAUCCUUUGUGACUACACAGGUACAAUCAGAGAAGCCAGAGGACUUAAUGCAGAGUGCAAUUUCUAGAAACAACUAAAGAGAAAGGAGCUGAGGCAGUAUUCCGAUGGGUAACAGAGUGGAGUGGCCAUACAAUCUCGUUUAGAAGCAAUUAUGAACCUACUCUACUGCCACUGGUAGGAAAGUAUGCAACAACAAGGGAACAUAGAUACAACAUAUGCGCGGAUUUUGGAAACAAGUCCAAAUUUGAGAUUAAUUUUGUAGCCCUAGAUUUCAUUUUAGGAUCAAUGUAAUAUGGGCAACUAAACUCUCUGUUUUUGUAACAAAUAUGCAAUACAACAUAUAUGGAAAGACAA